AGAGUUUGAUCAUGGCUCAGAAUGAACGUUAGCGGCGCGCCUGAUGCAUGCAAGUCGAACGCUCAAGUCAUCCGCAAGGAUGAUAAGGGAGUGGCAAACGGCUGAGUAACACGUAAGUAAUCUACCUCUAAGUGGGGAAUAACUUGCCGAAAGGCAGGCUAAUUCCGCAUGUGCUGAUAAGCGAAUGUUUUUCAGUAAAGCCUUCGGGCGCUUGGAGAAGAGCUUGCGUCUGAUUAGCUAGUUGGUAGGGUAAUGGCCUACCAAGGCGAUGAUCAGUAGCUGGUCUCAGAGGACGACCAGCCAGACAGGGACUGAGACACGGCCCUGACUCCUACGGGAGGCAGCAGCAAGGAAUUUUGCGCAAUGGGCGAAAGCCUGACGCAGCGACGCCGCGUGGGGGAUGAAGGCCUUCGGGUUGUAAACCCCUUUUCCUGGAGAAGAAUUAUGACGGUACCCAGGGAAUAAGUCUUGGCUAACUACGUGCCAGCAGCCGCGGUAAUACGUAGGAGGCGAACGUUAUUCGGAUUUACUGGGCGUAAAGCGGGUAGACGGCUUCUUAAGUCGGAUGUGAAAUCUCCUGACUUAAUCAGGAGGGGACAUUUGAUACUAAGAGGCUAGAGGACGGUAGAGGAAAGUGGAACUCCCGGUGUAGCGGUGAUAUGCGUAGAUAUCGGGAGGAACACCAGUGGCGAAGGCGGCUUUCUAGGCCGUUCCUGACGUUGAGGCCCAAAAGCGUGGGGAGCGAAACGGAUUAGAUACCCUAGUAGUCC
rnacentral:rRNA from 1 species